rnacentral:rRNA from 1 species
UACGAAGGGGGCUAGCGUUGUUCGGAAUUAUUGGGCGUAAAGCGCUCGCAGGCGGCUCGAUGCGUCGUGCGUGAAACACCCCGGCUCAACUGGGGAGGGUCGUGCGAUACGGUCGGGCUGGAGGCCAGUAGGGGGAUGCGGAAUUCCGGGUGUAGUGGUGGAAUGCGUAGAGAUCCGGAGGAACACCAGCGGCGAAGGCGGCAUCCUGGACUGGUCCUGACGCUCAGGAGCGAAAGCGUGGGGAGCGAACAGG